rnacentral:lncRNA from 1 species
AGCGACUGUGCUACUUUAUGUCCAGCUGCGUGAGUAGCUGCGCUGCAGCUGUAACUAUUUUUUAUGGGUUUCGGCACGUGAAGUACAGCGCGCUAUAAGCAGCGGUGGCUUUUUGCUUUUCCAGUUUAUGCUCUCUACUGCGUAUGCCAGAGGAAACUGUUUUUUCCUGAAUCAGUGGAGAUGUCUCCAAUCAUUUGUGUUCCUGCGUUGUUGCCAAUGAGCACGUCUGUUGGAGAGAGCGGAUAAGGGCUUUCCUUGCCACCUGCAGAUGCAAGGAGCGUUGGUGGCAGGAGUUGACAUGUCCCAUCACAGCGCUCGGUGCCUUCCUCCCCGCAGAAGACCCGUGGGCCGAGACGACGGCCGGGCGGCUCCCCACAGCGCCCGGCGGUUUUGGGUCGUUUGCCGAGAAAUGGGUGUUUUUGCCCGAACCGACGUGCGCGGCGGCRGCGGUGCGAUAGAGGCGACGGCUGUUUUGCACCUCAGGUCUUCUCACCACCGCAGCUCUGAGCCCUGUUCACACCUCCGUCCUCGCCACCCGCUCCAUCACCAGCUCUGCAGCUCGCGUCGCGAUGCCGCCGAGGUCGUCAGGCGGCUGUGGGCUCCCGGGGCCCAAGCGAGCCCCCCCGGCCGAAGCGGGGCGGCUGCCCCAGCCGGGAUGGAGACCACCCUGCGCCGAGCGAAGCCGCCCCGCUUCGCUUCUCCUCCGGAAGGGCUCCUUGCCCGUGCGGCACCGCCUUGGCCACUGGAAACCGGCUUUUGAACCCAUUAAAAAAAGCAGAGCCCAAACCUCGCGUCCCCGUAGCUGCUUCUGGAGCCGCGGCGGGGCGCGGGGCGCGUGCAGCUCCAUGCACCGGGUUCCUAGCCCCAAGGGCGAGCGUUGCACGGUGAUCGGGUCACGCUCGGGAUGCGUUUGGUGAGGAGCAUCUGCUGCRCGGGUGGGGAGGUUGGCUGGGAGCUUUUGGUGACAGACACCCUAAAAUACCUCUCCUGCUUCGCACCUGAAGCUCGGAUUUGCUCAGGUGUGUUGGCAGGCUUCAUUUCUCCUUUGGGCGUGUAACACGUCUGCUSACCCGUGUCGCUCGGCAGCUCCUCUCCGUCCGCACGUCGCGCUGGAGGAGACGAGGGCCGGGUUCGCGCUGGAAGCCGCCGGCAGCGGAGCAGCCCCGCGGGAAGGCCCCUCCGCCGCGCUCGCUUCCCCUUUCUGCAGCCCCGCGCACGCCUCUGCGCAGCGUCGCGGCGGCCGAGCUAUAAAAAAAGAAAAGAAAAGCAAAAAAAAAAAGGCCGUGCGGCUUUGGCGAUGCUCACUUCAGGCUUGCGGUUAGCGUUUCCCAGGCGGCGCGGGGGUGAGCGCGAGUUCAGCCGCUGCCGCCCUCUCUGAAUGACUCCGGCGGGCCUCCGCGGUGCCCGGCGGGCUGCAACCUCGCGUGCUCGACGCUGUGGGUUACUCAAGGAGCAACUGGUGGGUUAAGCGCAGAGCCGUGCGUUGCCGCCCCUUUCCUUCCCUCCUUCGCGCUGCAAUGG